rnacentral:rRNA from 1 species
GACGAACGCUGGCGGCGUGCUUAACACAUGCAAGUCGAACGAAGUGGCGAACGGGUGAGUAACGCGUAAUCAACCUGCCCUUCAGAGGGGGAAAACAGUUGGAAAUGACUGCUAAUACCGCACACUGAAGGAGGGGAUUGCGUCUGAUUAGCUAGUUGGAGGGGUAACGGCCCACCAAGGCGAUGAUCAGUAGCCGGUAUGAGAGGAUGAACGGAGACAUUGGGACUGAGACACGGCCCAGACUCCUACGGGAGGCAGCAGUGGGGAAUCGUCCGCAAUGGACGAAAGUCUGACGGGGCAACUGCGCGUGAGUGAUGACGGCCUUCGGGUUGUAAAGCUCUGUUAAUCGGGACGCGGUACCGGAAUAGAAAGCCACGGCUAACUACGUGCCAGCAGCCGCGGUAAUAC